CCUGUCCGCUCGGUGAAUGGAGAAUCCGUAGAGUUGGAUAGCCAUGGGAGAUAUCUUGUCUGAAAGCCAUGUUUCAGAAAAGCAGAGAAUAUUGCAGUUACCAGAGUCCCGUUGGUUGCAAAUCCGCGAUCGGAGGUCAUCCUUCUCAUUAUCAAGUGACUGGCCAGUAGAAUGGAAGGAAGAGAUGGCAGGUUUUCCCUUCGCCUUAACCUCGGCAGGACUCCUGCCGUUUCCAAUUGGAAACUCCCAAAAUUGGGUCAAAAUGACAGAAAGAAUACAGGGCAGAUGAUUCAAAUUCAAAGUUGAAGCCAGAAUUGAGAUUUCUCUCCAUACUGUACAUCUGAUUCAUAUCAUGGAUUCUGAGAAGGAGCCAUCAAAGAUUCUGAGAAGGAGACAUCAAAGUGUGUUGCAGCUGAUACUGAAGCCAACACUGAGCAAUUGUAUCAUUUUUGUCUACUAUCUUGUAAUUACAAUGGCAUGACAUGUACU